UCCCAGACUCCUACGGGAGGCAGCAGUGGGGAAUAUUGCACAAUGGGGGAAACCCUGAUGCAGCGACGCCGCGUGAGUGAAGAAGUAUCUCGGUACGUAAAGCUCUAUCAGCAGGGAAGAAAAUGACAGUACCUGACCAAGAAGCCCCGGCUAACUACGUGCCAGCAGCCGCGGUAAUACGUAGGGGGCAAGCGUUAUCCGGAUUUACUGGGUGUGAAGGGAGCGUAGACGGUUAUGUAAGUCUGGAGUGAAAGCCCGGGGCCCAACCCCCGGACUGCUUUGGAAACUGUAUGGCUGGAGUGCAGGAGAGGUAAGUGGAAUUCCUAGUGUAGCGGUGAAAUGCGUAGAUAUUAGGAGGAACACCAGUGGCGAAGGCGGCUUACUGGACUGUAACUGACGUUGAGGCUCGAAAGCGUGGGGAGCAAACAGGAUUAGAUACCCUGGUAU
rnacentral:rRNA from 1 species